rnacentral:rRNA from 1 species
GGCCAAGUUUUUAAGGGCGCACGGUGGAUGCCUUGGCACCAGGAACCGAUGAAGGACGUGGGAGGCCACGAUAGGCCCCGGGGAGUCGUCAACCAGGCUUUGAUCCGGGGGUGUCCGAAUGGGGAAACCCGGCAGUCGUCAUGGGCUGUCACCCGCUGCUGAACACAUAGGCAGUGUGGAGGGAACGCGGGGAAGUGAAACAUCUCAGUACCCGCAGGAAGAGAAAACAACCGUGAUUCCGGGAGUAGUGGCGAGCGAAACUGGAUGAGGCCAAACCGUAUACGUGUGAGACCCGGCAGGGGUUGCGUGUGCGGGGUUGUGGGAUCUCUCUUCCACGGUCUGCCGGCCGUGGGGCGAGUCAGAAACCGUUGAUGUAGGCGAAGGACAUGCGAAAGGUCCGGCGUAGAGGGUAAGACCCCCGUAGUCGAAACGUCAGCGGCUUGCUUGAGAGACACCCAAGUAGCACGGGGCCCGAGAAAUCCCGUGUGAAUCUGGCGGGACCACCCGCUAAGCCUAAAUAUUCCCUGGUGACCGAUAGCGGAUAGUACCGUGAGGGAAUGGUGAAAAGUACCGCGGGAGCGGAGUGAAAUAGUACCUGAAACCGUGUGCCUACAAGCCGUGGGAGCGUCGGACAUCAGCUUGCUGGUGUCUCGUGACUGCGUGCCUUUUGAAGAAUGAGCCUGCGAGUUUGCGGUGUGUUGCGAGGUUAACCCGGGUGGGGUAGCCGUAGCGAAAGCGAGUCCGAACAGGGCGAUUCAGUAGCACGCUCAAGACCCGAAGCGGAGUGAUCUAGCCAUGGGCAGGUUGAAGCGGAGGUAAGACUUCGUGGAGGACCGAACCCACCAGGGUUGAAAACCUGGGGGAUGACCUGUGGUUAGGGGUGAAAGGCCAAUCAAACUCCGUGAUAGCUGGUUCUCCCCGAAAUGCAUUUAGGUGCAGCGUCGUGUGUUUCUUGCCGGAGGUAGAGCACUGGAUAGGCGAUGGGCCCUACCGGGUUACUGACCUUAGCCAAACUCCGAAUGCCGGUAAGUGAGAGCGCGGCAGUGAGACUGUGGGGGAUAAGCUCCAUGGUCGAGAGGGAAACAGCCCAGAGCAUCGACUAAGGCCCCUAAGCGUACGCUAAGUGGGAAAGGAUGUGGAGUCGCACAGACAACCAGGAGGUUGGCUUAGAAGCAGCCACCCUUGAAAGAGUGCGUAAUAGCUCACUGGUCUAGUGAUUCCGCGCCGACAAUGUAGCGGGGCUCAAGCGUACCGCCGAAGUCGUGUCAUUCAUACAACAGGGCCAACGCCUGUAUGGAUGGGUAGGGGAGCGUCGUGUGCCGGGUGAAGCAGCCGCGGAAGCGAGUUGUGGACGGUUCACGAGUGAGAAUGCAGGCAUGAGUAGCGAUACAAACGUGAGAAACGUUUGCGCCGAUUGACUAAGGGUUCCUGGGUCAAGCUGAUCUGCCCAGGGUAAGUCGGGACCUAAGGCGAGGCCGACAGGCGUAGUCGAUGGAUAACCGGUUGAUAUUCCGGUACCCGCUGUGAAGCGUCAAACAUCGAAUCCAGUGAUGCUAAGGCCGUGAAGCCGCCCCUGAUCUCUUCGGAGUGAGGGGGAGUGGUGGAGCCGCUGAACCAAGUUGGUAGUAGGUGAGUGAUGGGGUGACGCAGGAAGGUAGUCCAUCCCGGGCGGUGGUUGUCCCGGGGUAAGGGUGUAGGACGUCAGGUAGGUAAAUCCGCCUGGCAAUAGUCUGAGACCUGAUGCCGAGCCGAUUGUGGUGAAGUGGAUGAUCCUAUGCUGUCGAGAAAAGCCUCUAGCGAGUUUCAUGGCGGCCCGUACCCUAAACCGACUCAGGUGGUCAGGUAGAGAAUACCGAGGCGUUCGGGUGAACUAUGGUUAAGGAACUCGGCAAAAUGCCCCCGUAACUUCGGGAGAAGGGGGGCCAUUCUUGGUGAUCGGAUUUACUCCGUGAGCUGGGGGUGGCCGCAGAGACCAGCGAGAAGCGACUGUUUACUAAAAACACAGGUCCGUGCGAAGCCGUAAGGCGAUGUAUACGGACUGACGCCUGCCCGGUGCUGGAACGUUAAGGGGACCGGUUAGCUCCAUUUCGGUGGGGCGAAGCUGAGAACUUAAGCGCCAGUAAACGGCGGUGGUAACUAUAACCAUCCUAAGGUAGCGAAAUUCCUUGUCGGGUAAGUUCCGACCUGCACGAAUGGCGUAACGACUUCUCGACUGUCUCAACCAUAGGCCCGGUGAAAUUGCACUACGAGUAAAGAUGCUCGUUUCGCGCAGCAGGACGGAAAGACCCCGGGACCUUUACUACAGUUUGAUAUUGGUGUUCGGUUCGGCUUGUGUAGGAUAGCUGGGAGACUUUGAAGCUCGCACGCCAGUGUGGGUGGAGUCGUCGUUGAAAUACCAGUCUGGUCGUGCUGGAUGUCUAACCUGGGUCCGUGAUCCGGAUCAGGGACAGUGUCUGAUGGGUAGUUUAACUGGGGCGGUUGCCUCCUAAAGGGUAACGGAGGCGCCCAAAGGUUCCCUCAGCCUGGUUGGCAAUCAGGUGUUGAGUGUAAGUGCACAAGGGAGCUUGACUGUGAGACCGACGGGUCGAGCAGGGACGAAAGUCGGGACUAGUGAUCCGGCGGUGGCUUGUGGAAGCGCCGUCGCUCAACGGAUAAAAGGUACCCCGGGGAUAACAGGCUGAUCUUCCCCAAGAGUCCAUAUCGACGGGAUGGUUUGGCACCUCGAUGUCGGCUCGUCGCAUCCUGGGGCUGGAGUCGGUCCCAAGGGUUGGGCUGUUCGCCCAUUAAAGCGGUACGCGAGCUGGGUUUAGAACGUCGUGAGACAGUUCGGUCCCUAUCCGCUGUGCGCGUAGGAGUCUUGAGAAGGGCUGUCCCUAGUACGAGAGGACCGGGACGGACGAACCUCUGGUGUGCCAGUUGUUCUGCCAAGGGCAUGGCUGGUUGGCUACGUUCGGGAGGGAUAACCGCUGAAAGCAUCUAAGCGGGAAGCCUGCUUCGAGAUGAGGACUCCCACCUCCUAGAGAGGGUAAGGCUCCCAGUAGACGACUGGGUUGAUAGGCCAGAUAUGGAAGCCGGGUAACCGGUGGAGUUGACUGGUACUAAUAGGCCGAGGGCUUGUCCUC